rnacentral:lncRNA from 1 species
UAAAAAAAAAAGAAAAAAAAAAGGGGGGGGGGGNNNNNNNNNNGUUGCUUCCUGAGCCUUUCACACAUUUGAAUGGUGAAAGAGUUCUGGUUACUUGAGGUCAGAAGUCCUGGUCUGGGACUGUUUGAACGGAGAGACGAGUUGGACAAAAAAUUUUAAAGGAGUAGCCUAAGCAAAUUUGAAAGCAAAGAGCAAAUAUGCUAUGAGGUCUGCAUUACGGAUCACCAAGAUCAAGUAGCUUCGUGUGAGAUCUGAAGGAAUCUCUGAGCCUGUGACCUUUGCAACUGCUUCCCCAGACUCAGCGGUGCCUUGAGGUGGCAGGUGUGCUCCAUGGUUAAAGAUUUCUUGGCAGCUAACUCUGAAAACUGCUAACCAUGUACAAGAAAAAAUGUUCUGAUGAGUGAUGGUGGAACAUGUGAGGAACAUAGACAAGAAAGAAGAGAUCAGCGGUUGAAUAUACUUUUAAAAAAUCAUGAAAUUUUAAGCACACCAGCUGGAUUGGAGCCAACUAAUAACGAACUUCAGUGGAAGGGGUCUGAAAGCUUCCCAGUGAUCACAGGAACAGGCAGAGCAGCAGUUGAUCUGAUGAGGUGA